rnacentral:rRNA from 1 species
GAUGAACGCUAGCGGCAGGCCUAAUACAUGCAAGCUGAACGGCAAGAUUUGUAGCAAUACGAGUCCUAGAGUAGCGUAAGGGUGCGUAACACGUAUGCAAUCUGCCCGCAACAGGAGGAUAGCUUAGCGAAAGUUGAGAUAAGACUCCAUGAGAUCACGAGAGGGCAUCUGAUUGUGAUUAAACUACAAGGGGUUGCGGAUGAGCAUGCGUCUGAUUAGUUAGUUGGCGGGGUAAC